rnacentral:rRNA from 1 species
GCCGCGGUAAUUCCAGCUCCAAUAGCGAAUAUUAAAUUUGUUGCAGUUAAAAAGCUCGUAGUUGGAUCCAAGGUUAGGCAUGCCUGUCUGUUCUUAGUAGCAUGACUGUGUGUGUCUGCCUUUAUUAGUUGAAUGUUCAUUAUGGUGGUCUUCAUCGACUGCUAUGAUGUGCUCAACACGUUUACCUUGAAAAAAUCAGAGCGAUCAAGGCAGGCCUUCGUGCUUGUAUGUUGUUGCAAGGAAUAAUAGAAUAGGACUUCGGUUCUAUUUUGUUGGUUUUGAGAAUUGAAGUAAUGAACAAUAGAGACAGUCGGGGGCAUUUGUAUGGUGGCGUUAGAGGUGAAAUUCUGAGAUCGUCGCCAGACAAACUACUGCGAAAGCAUUUGCCAAGGAUGUCUUCAUUAAUCAAGAACGAAAGUCAGAGGUUCGAAGACGAUCAGAUACCGACCUAGUUCUGACCAUAAACGAUGCCGACCUACAAUCGGGGGUGGUUUAUUAUAUUGACCCUCCCGGCUGUCCUCAGGAAACUUUAAGUUGGUUCUGGGGGGAAUAUGGUCUCAAGACUGAAACUUAAAGGAAUUGACGGAAGGGCACCACCAGGAGUGGAGCCUGCGGCUUAAUUUGACCCAACACGGGGAAUCUCACCCGGUCCGGACACUGGUAGGAUGGACAGAUUGAUAGCUCUUUCUUGAUUCAGUGGGUGGUGGUGCAUGGCCGUUCUUAGUUGGUGGAGUGAUUUGUCUGGUUAAUUCCGAUAACGAACGAGACUCUGUCCUGCUAAAUAGUCCAGUGGCAUCAAUCACUAUGUGAUUACAGCUGCUGUUACUUCUUAGAGGGAUUCGCGGAUUUAAACCGCAAGAAAUAGAGCAAUAACAGGUCUGUGAUGCCCUUAGAUGUCCGGGGCCGCACGCGCGCUACAUUGACAGUAGAAGCGAGUAUUUCUACCUGGUUCGAAAGAAUUGGGAAAUCUUCGAAUUACUGUCUCCACAGGGAUUGAGGUUUGCAAUUUUGCCUCAUGAACGAGGAAUUCCCAGUAGGCGCAAGUCAUCAGCUUGGUCGAUUACGUCCCUGCCCUUUGUACACACCGCCCGUCGCUACUACCGAUUGAGUGCAUUAGUGAGGACCUCGGAUUGAGAACAUAGUGGCGCAAGUUACUUUGUUUUCGAAAAGUGGUUCAAAUUUGUGCAUUUAGAGAUAGUAAAGGUCGU